rnacentral:misc_RNA from 1 species
AUGAUUUGAAUCGUCACUGUCUGUGCUGGCUUCGGCAUGUGCACGUCGGUUGACUUUCAUCCCAACACCCUUGUGAACCUUUGGCCUCGCGCUGGUUUCGACCGGCAUGGGGAUUUUACACAAACUCGAAUGUAAUGAAAUCAUGUUUUGUGCGCAAGCACUAAUGUA